rnacentral:rRNA from 1 species
AACGUAGGUGGCAAGCGUUAUCCGGAAUUACUGGGCGUAAAGGGUGUGCAGGCGGGGCUGCAAGUGGUGUAUGAAAUCUCCCAGCUUAACUGGGAUAGGUUAUGCCAGACUGCAGUUCUAGAGGACGAGAGAGGGGGGUGGAAUUCCGGGUGGUAGUGGUGAAAUGCGUAGAGAUGGGGGAGAACACUCGUGGCGAAGGCGGCCAGCUAGACCAGUUCUGACACUGAGGCGCGACAGCGUGGGGAGCAAACAGG